GAACACUUCUAUGAUGGUGCAAGUGGAACUGGCUACCUGGCAUGGCGCCUAAAAACUGUGCAGAGAAAAGUUACAAAAAGGUCGGAGAACAGCCCUCAAGGUGCCUUGCAGGGAGGACCCAGCCUGAAGAGGAGUUUCACAGCAGAGCAACAGGCAGAUGGUGAUGCAGUCAGAGAAGCCAUAUCGUUACUUCUACAUUCCAGUGAUGAUUCAGUGAUCCGCAGCAAGAUGAGGGAGACGUUUCAGCAUCGUCAUCAGCUUGUCCAUAAUCCAGAGAUGACCACUGAAGUCCUAAAAAUGUAUCCAAGAUUUUUGGAUGUGAAGGGAUUGAUAAAUCAAGAUUUCACACUCCUGUUUGGAGCGGAAACCUCCUCCAAGUUAUUAGAGAAAGAACCAAGACGCUGAACCAAGCGCUGAAUGGGACACGGAUAUAGCUACUCUACUGCUCUUAAUACACCUCCUCCCACCACAACCUGUCGGCAAGAAGGCUGUGAAGAUUAGAUGCUGCAUCUGAAAGGCUCAUUGUUUAUCACAAGUCCUGUUGCAGUUUUGAAGAGGCUCUCAGCAAACGUGAUCACCAUCAUCCACACCUCCUUGCUGUUGGAAGAAACCAAAAUCGGAUCGACCAGUUCUACAUUGUCUUGGACAAAAAGAUGAUUCCUUGUGAG
ensembl:lncRNA